GAUGAACGCUAGCGACAGGCAUAACACAUGCAAGUCGAGGGGCAUCGGGGCGUAGCAAUACGCUGCCGGCGACCGGCGGAUGGGUGAGUAACGCGUAUGCAACCUGCCUUCAGCAGGGGGAUAGCCCGUUGAAAGACGGAUUAAUACCCCAUAACACAGGGGCUCCGCAUGGAGAUUAUUGUUAAAGGGAUGCUUCCUUCGGGGAGUAUUCCGGCUGCAGAUGGGCAUGCGUUUCCAUUAGGUAGUUGGUUGAGGUAACGGCUCACCAAGCCUACGAUGGAUAGGGGAACUGAGAGGUUGGUCCCCCACACUGGUACUGAGACACGGACCAGACUCCUACGGGAGGCAGCAGUGAGGAAUCUUGGUCAAUGGACGGAAGUCUGAACCAGCCAUGUCGCGUGAAGGAGGACGGCCCUAAGGGUUGUAAACUUCUUUUGCAGGGGAAUAAAGUAUUCCACGAGAUGGGAUAUUGCAAGUACGCUGCGAAUAAGGAUCGGCUAACUCCG
rnacentral:rRNA from 1 species